GAUGAACGCUGGCGGCGUGCCUAAUACAUGCAAGUCGAGCGAACAGACGAGGAGCUUGCUCCUCUGACGUUAGCGGCGGACGGGUGAGUAACACGUGGAUAACCUACCUAUAAGACUGGGAUAACUUCGGGAAACCGGAGCUAAUACCGGAUAAUAUAUUGAACCGCAUGGUUCAAUAGUGAAAGACGGUUUUGCUGUCACUUAUAGAUGGAUCCGCGCCGCAUUAGCUAGUUGGUAAGGUAACGGCUUCCCAAGGCGACGAUGCGUAGCCGACCUGAGAGGGUGAUCGGCCACACUGGAACUGAGACACGGUCCAGACUCCUACGGGAGGCAGCAGUAGGGAAUCUUCCGCAAUGGGCGAAAGCCUGACGGAGCAACGCCGCGUGAGUGAUGAAGGUCUUCGGAUCGUAAAACUCUGUUAUUAGGGAAGAACAAAUGUGUAAGUAACUAUGCACGUCUUGACGGUACCUAAUCAGAAAGCCACGGCUAACUACGUG
rnacentral:rRNA from 1 species